AUUGAACGCUGGCGGCAUGCUUUACACAUGCAAGUCGAGCGGCAGCGCGGGGGCAACCCUGGCGGCGAGCGGCGGACGGGUGAGUAGAGCAUCGGAACGUAUCCCGUAGUGGGGGACAACCCAGCGCAAGCUGGGCUAAUACCGCAUAUGCUCUACGGAGGAAAGAGGGGGACUCGCAAGGGCUCCACGCUAUGGGAGCGGCCGAUGUCCGAGUCGCUAGUUGGUGGGGUAAUGGCUUACCAAGGCGACGAUCGGUAGCUGGUCUGAGAGGAUGAUCAGCCACACUGGGACUGAGACACGGCCCAGACUCCUACGGGAGGCAGCAGUGGGGAAUUUUGGACAAUGGGGGCAACCCUGAUCCAGCCAUGCCGCGGGCGGGAAGAAGGCCUUCGGGUUGUAAACCGCUUUUGUCUGGGAAGAAAAGGCCUCGGCUAAUACCUGAGGUUCUUGAUGGUACUGGAAGAAUAAGCACCGGCUAACUACGUGCCAGCAGCCGCCGUAAUAC
rnacentral:rRNA from 1 species